GACGAACGCUGGCGGCGUGCCUAAUACAUGCAAGUAGAACGCUGAAGGAGGAGCUUGCUUCUCUGGAUGAGUUGCGAACGGGUGAGUAACGCGUAGGUAACCUGCCUGGUAGCGGGGGAUAACUAUUGGAAACGAUAGCUAAUACCGCAUAAGAGUAGAUGUUGCAUGACAUUUACUUAAAAGGUGCAAUUGCAUCACUACCAGAUGGACCUGCGUUGUACUAGCUAGUUGGUGAGGUAACGGCUCCCCAAGGCAACGAUACAUAGCCGACCUGAGAGGGGGAGCGGCCACACUGGGACUGAGACACGGCCCAGACUCCUACGGGAGGCAGCAGUAGGGAAUCUUCGGCAAUGGACGGAAGUCUGACCGAGCAACGCCGCGUGAGUGAAGAAGGUUUUCGGAUCGUAAAGCUCUGUUGUAAGAGAAGAACGAGUGUGAGAGUGGAAAGUUCACACUGUGACGGUAUCUUACCAGAAAGGGACGGCUAACUACGUG
rnacentral:rRNA from 1 species